ensembl:lncRNA
CUGAGACUUAUCAGAGGGAACCUGAACAUUGCUUGUGAAGGUUCUUUUCUCAUCCCCAGCCCAGGACCUCUCCCCUUCCGACCCUACAUCCACUGCAGCUGGUCUGCCACAGUAAUAUAGAGAUGCCUCAGCCUCUCAGAGUGGUGUGGACCUCUCCUUACACGUGUGGACUACCACAUCAAGUUUAUUUGCUCUUUCUUCCCUGAGACAAAAUACUCUAAAACCACAACUUGAAGGAUCAGGAAGAAGCCUAGAAACUUAUGAAAAAAGAAACAUGGUCUUUAGAAAUAAAGAAAGACUUCUGAUUAAUAGCAAGAAAGAAAAGUAGAAGCUCAUAUCUACAAAUGCCAAGAAUCUUACUACUUUUGGAAGCAGAUUACUUCUCAGAGCCUCCAAUAAGAAACUGGCUUGGCUGUCAACUUCAUCUAGACUUAGUAAGGACUACAUUCAAAUUUUAAUCUACAGAGCUGUGGAUUGAUCAACUUGUAUUGUUGUGAGCCCCUAAAUGUGUGAUUUGAUAUGUUGCCAAUAGAAAACAAAUGCACCACAUCCACAUUAUCUGUGAAAUGAUUCACACAUUAAUUCAAGAUUUUAAAAAUAUUUCCUGAAUUUAUUUAUAAUAGCUCUGCUAGGCAAUGCUGAUUGUUUGUAAUGUCCUCAGUUAAAUUACAAGUUCCCUGAAGCUAGAGUCCCAGCUUGAUUUAUUAUCAUGAUUUGUACCAUCCAUCAGGUAGCUCUUUUCUGAAAUCUGACUCUGAGUUCUCCAAUGUUACUGAAAGUCAGUUGAUU